rnacentral:lncRNA from 1 species
UAAACUAGAAGCUGUCAAUUGGAUCCUGUCCAGCUGAUCAAUUCCUGUAUGCAGAUUUCCUUUAACUUUUAUACUGUUUGCCUUGGGUCAGUUUCUGUGUGGAAUGAAAUUAAGGGCAACUUGGUCUUAUUGUAAAAUGGAGUUUUAUGUAUUCGGAAGAAUGUCAGACCAAGGCCCCUUUCUUUGGUAGUUUUACAUUGGGUUGGAGAGAUGGUCUCUAGAAGAGACUGAAACAUACAAUUGAACAACCUAAUAUCAGGCUACGUCCCAGGACUUUGACUCUCAUGAAAUACCUGUUCCCUAGACUUCAGUCCCUCUGAACUGUGGGACCAUGAAAGGCCUACAGGAAUACCUAGAUCAUGCUUUUCAACCCAAAAUUUUCUUGCUUGUUUAUUUAAAUGUUUAUUUUCUCCCUAGCAUUCAUGAUGUAUGUACAAAAAAAAAUCUUUCAACUUGUUUAAGAUUUCCUUUAAGGGUCAAAAGUCAUCUAACCUACUUCCACAGGUCAAGUCAACUAUGCUGAUUACCAUUAUUCAACCUUUAACUAACAACCAGUUUCCUUUUAGAGACAAACUGUUACUGCCUAUCCCAGAUACACAACUAACAUGCUAUUUUCUUCCUCAACCAUCCAAAGCAGACUUAAAGGAUUCCUUCCAGGACUAAAGUCCUCAUACACCCUUGCUUUUCUAGGAUGAUAACAAUGAUUCAUGAUGUGCUCCCAAGCAAACUAUUGCAGGCUUAACGUUUGCUAUCCACGCUAUGCAGACAUCGCCCUGCUGGGAAUCUGCUCCUCUGUUACAAUUGCUCUACAGGUCUAUGUCCACACGGUGUCUGCUGCCACAGCUCCAGCUGAGACAGCGUCAUCUCCUGAGACCCACGGAAAACAAAGCUGCCUUCUUCCAGACACCUCAUCUGGCUGAAGACUCCCGAGAUGAAAUCCAGAGACACGUGCUAAACCUCACAGAAGAAAGACUUGGGACCUUCCAGCUACAGAUGAACUCUCUUGCCAAAGCCAAAUGACUGCUGAACUGGGGGAAAGUUACAAGAUAGUGAGAAAAACAUAGAGUCUAUCUAGAUUAAUUAAUUGCUGUUCAAAACAGAUGUUAUUACCCUCAAACAAUUACCCCGGAACAAUUGAUUCUAUAAUCUCUUGCCUUCCCAGCCCUUACCCUUAACCCUCCUUACCACUCUGGCUUAGUUGUGCUACUCCUCUAGCCUGUAUGUUUUCUUCUGAUACUUCCACUCUACCCCAAAUUUUCACCACAAAUGACACAGUCACUCCAAUGACCCUUCCCUUUAAAAAAAAAUGUAAAAGGGGAAUUUGUGGGACUGUGAAAGGCAGCUUGUUUCUGGUCGAGAGAGACUUACUCUGAAGACCCAGUAGAAAUUCUACAAGGGAUGAAACAGUGAGCCAUGCUCCCAGACAGACAUGCUCCCAGCAUGACACCACAGAGCCCUCAACUCCAUAAUUCUGUGACUAUCAGUCACACAGACAAUGUCCCAAGCUCCUGACAUUCUGGCUAGCCUCUAUCCUCACAGUUACCUGACAAUAGCCAGGUAUGCUCUUUCCCACAGCUACCCUGUAACUGCAAGAUAGCCCAGCCCACUAUAAAAGGGGCUGCUUGGCCCCUCCUCUCUCUUAAGCUCUCACCUCUCUUAUUCUCAUCUCUAGUUCUCCUUCUCCACUUCCAUUUCCUCCCUCUCUCCACGUGGCCAUGGCCAGCCUCUCUCCUUCUACCUUUUGUUUUUCUCUUUGCCUUUCUACAAUAUAGCUCUAAAACCAUAGAUUAUCUCUGCUCAUUGAGAUUCGCCAUGUUGGGACAACAGAGUGGGCUUUCCUCUAAAAAGUCGUGUCUAACCUCCCACCGGAAGACCUUUCUGGGCUCCAGCCAUGGACCAGACCAAGGACUCUUGCCCGAGUGGAAACCUCUUAGCACUUCCCUCUUGCCCUCUUCUCCCUUUGGCCCCUGGGCUGACCAAGCUGUCCCCGUAGCCCCCACUUUGUUUUCAGCUCUUUCAAGACAUACAGCGAAGUCUGGGAUGUCUGAGACUGAGAACCUGCCAUCUCUGGCCUCUGUGAGGCCCAGAGACCUCGGACUGCUCCCUCUCCAUGCCCCCUCUCCCCCUGGGUUCUGUGGCUUCCCACAGCCAGACACCCACCUGGGGCCACGUGGAGACCGCGCCCCACACCCCUCGUCUGUCUGCCCAGAGCACUGGAGCUUUGGCAGGACUUAGGUUCUCUCCCAUCCCCUUUAUUCCCCCAUGCCUGCUGCUCGACACUGAACUAGGGGCCAAUACUUGUGUUGGGACUACAGUUUACAACUCACUCCUUCUAGGUCUCUACUAUAGAUCAGACAGAUGAUCUGAGCUCAGCCUUCUUUUACUGGACAGUGAGCCUCCCAUCUAAGCUCACGACAGGACUCCCUAUCUUUCCCUGGAUGCUCUAGGAUGGCAUUGUAGCUUCCUACUCAUGACCUGCACACACAAAAACCAUGUUUGUACGGGAGUCUCUGGUAAACUGGAUGAACAUGUGGCAGU